rnacentral:rRNA from 1 species
AGUGAACGCUGGCGGUAGGCCUAACACAUGCAAGUCGAACGGCAGCACGGUAAGAGCUUGCUCUUACGGGUGGCGAGUGGCGGACGGGUGAGGAAUACAUCGGAAUCUACUUUUUCGUGGGGGAUAACGUAGGAAACUUACGCUAAUACCGCAUACGACCUACGGGUGAAAGUAGGGGAUCUUCGGACCUUGCGCGAUUGAAUGAGCCGAUGUCGGAUUAGCUAGUUGGCGGGGUAAAGGCCCACCAAGGCGACGAUCCGUAGCUGGUCUGAGAGGAUGAUCAGCCACACUGGAACUGAGACACGGUCCAGACUCCUACGGGAGGCAGCAGUGGGGAAUAUUGGACAAUGGGCGCAAGCCUGAUCCAGCCAUACCGCGUGGGUGAAGAAGGCCUUCGGGUUGUAAAGCCCUUUUGUUGGGAAAGAAAAGCAGCAGGUUAAUACCCCGCUGUUCUGACGGUACCCAAAGAAUAAGCACCGGCUAACUUCGUG